rnacentral:lncRNA from 1 species
GACCCUGGCCUCCAUCUUGAAAACGGAAAAUAAAAACAGCAGACCUAUGAAGGUCGAAGGGGAAGAAAAGCUGUAUCGAUUGUUGAGAUCUGGCGACUUGUUUAAAUUUCAUCAGCCUCACUUCUAUGAACUCUCAGAGCUGAUUACCAACUCCUACCACUGUUAACCCUCAUCCAGGAACAAGCUUAUGUCUUUAACAUUCUGAGUGGGCUUCAGCAUCCUUGCAUAUGUUCAAUUCUUAAAAACCUGUUGAAAUAAAAGAUCAGGAGACAUAGGAAGGAUGCCAGAAGAGAGCGUGGCCUCACGUGUACCAGCUCUCUGCUCUCCUUUGCCUUGGGACGUUCCAUCCCUGGAAGUUUCCCUGCCCACAUCUUUGUAGAGAGUCCAUUCUCCAAGCUUCAGUGUGUCAUCUGUGAGGACCGUGACCCACCUGGUACAUCGCCUCAGGGCAUUCAUUUCAGGCUCCUUCUAAAUGGCCAAGUACACUCAUGGCCUUGAAUCUUCAUCCACUCAGAGCUCCAUGUGUAUUCUUCCAAGCCAUUGCUCUAUACCCGGAACCGCCUUUUCUUGAACACACCACAGGAUACCUCACCCAUCUGUUCUGUGAAGCAUUCCAAUGACAAUAACCACCUACCAUUUUGUGCUAUUAUACAGUUAUCUCCUUCCCCUUCAUCCUGUUGGUAUUGUGUAUAUUACUUAAGAUGAGCACUCUAGUUCUUUAUUUGCUUGUAAAUUAUAAGUGGUGGUGUGGUUUAUAAACUCAUGAAAAUUAUAUUUCACUUGGGAUGAAACUGGUAGAACCAUUUAUAAUAACAUCAUGUUGUUAUGUGGUAUAUAUAUUAUAUAUAGGUAUAUAUAUACACCAAUAUGAAGAGUGAAUUACAUUGUAGGUAGGGUAAUAGAUUAGCUCAAUUGUUUAGUAUAACGUCAAGCUAUUUGUGGUUCAGGUGUGAGCCCCAUAGGACUAGUUACCUUACUAUUUGCUAUAGUUGAAAACUAUAGCUCUACAAUAAGCGGCUGUUUUAAGAUGAAGAUGGUGUUACACGUAGUAUGGCAGAGACAGAGUGAUAUACUCUAAGGAACAUUGUUCAGCUAAUCAGACCUGGGUUCAAAUUCCAUCACCACUGUUUACUUGCUGUGUGCUUCCAAACAAACCCUGUAAAUCUGUUUUCUAAAAUAAAAAGUUAUGAACACAUAA